AACUUAUUUUCAUAAACAUAUGCUGCUAAAAUCAAGGACCAUCUCUGCAUCCUCGCUGCUGCUAAUUGUGGUACUCCUGUUUUUGGACCUAAGAUUUUUAGUAAUGUUUUGU